UACGUAGGGGGGCAAGCGUUGUCCGGAUUUAUUGGGCGUAAAGAGCGUGUAGGCGGCCAUACAGGUCCGUUGUGAAAAACUGGAGGCUUAACCUCCAGACGUCGAUGGAAACCGUAUGGCUAGAGUCCGGAAGAGGAGAGUGGAAAUUCCUGGUGUAGCGGUGAAAUGCGCAGAUAUCAGGAAGAACACCCGUGGCGAAGGCGGCUCUCUGGGACGGUACUGACGCUGAGACGCGAAAGCGUGGGGAGCGAACAGG
rnacentral:rRNA from 1 species